ACUUUUCUGCGCUGACAGAAAAGAACGAUUAUCUCCGAACAGACAGUUUACAAAUUAACUUAGAUCUUAUUGGUCAGCUAAAGUCACAUGCUUAAUUAUCUCUAUUUUGAUUGGUUCCUUUAUUUAUAAGUUUUUGUGUACAAUUCUCCGAAAUGCACCGAAUAUUACCGAUUUCGGUCUAUCUCGACUGUGAGUCGAGCUUUAUUAUUGUUUUGAUUUGAUUCACACAAACACACGCUGCUAGAGUAGGCAUUACUUAUGUUCAGCUAAUUUUAGUUUCCUAGCGUCACAUUGUUCUUUUUACAAAUUAUAUAUAGUAUUUUUGAUAAAAUAGGGAUGCUCAACCUAUGGUAAAAGUGGCCCUCAAAGCCUUUCAACUUGGGGCCCCUGAGCUGUCUGAAAUAUUAAAAACAUGAAAGGAGAGAAGAAAAAAAAAUUUUCAGCCAUGCUUUGUAACAGUUUAGUUUGCAUUCGCCUCUACCAGAACCAUUUGCUACUGCUUGUUCCUAUAUGGUUUUUUAUUCUCUUUGUAUGCCUGCUUUGUCCUUUCUCAUUGGCCAAAUUUUUUUGAAUCACCCUAUGUAAUUUGAAGUUUACUUACUGUUGUGUGGUUUCUAGCUAUCCAAGUGCAUCCUGUAUCACCAAAAGUUAGCUAAUCUGAAAUAUAUUAUUGGAAGCUUGUUGUGCUACUUACUACAACUGUUAUUCACUGAAAAAAAAAAAGUUAAGCUUUAAUACUCCUUAAAUUUACUCUGUAUGUUACAUGAACUAUUUUGAUUUUUUUUUCCAAAUCUUUUAGUUGUGUCUUUUUGGCAAGUUUGAUUUGCAAUGCCUCAAGAUUUUACAUGUUUUCACAGGCUUACAAAAAUUAUCAGCAGACGUAUUUUCAUUCUAUGUAUCACUAUUUUAUAAAGUAUUACAAUUUUUUCUUUGCAUAUGCUGCUGGUUUAACUAUAUUUUUUUUUAAAUCAAAAUAAAAAAUUCC
rnacentral:lncRNA from 1 species